rnacentral:rRNA from 1 species
CACGUAGGGGGCAAGCGUUGUCCGGAUUUAUUGGGCGUAAAGAGCUCGUAGGCGGUUCGGUAAGUCGGGUGUGAAACCCCCAGGCUCAACCUGGGGACGCCACUCGAUACUGCUGUGGCUAGAGUCCAGUAGAGGAGUGUGGAAUUCCCGGUGUAGCGGUGAAAUACGCAGAUAUCGGGAGGAACACCAACGGCGAAGGCAGCACUCUGGGCUGGAACUGACGCUGAGGAGCGAAAGCGUGGGUAGCAAACAGG